rnacentral:rRNA from 1 species
UUAGAUAUGAUCCAGAGUACCACGGGACACGUGAAACCCUGUGGGAAGCAGGAGGACCACCCUCCAAGGCUAAAUACUACCUAGUGACCGAUAGCGUAUAGUACCGUGAGGGAAAGGUGAAAAGAACCCCGGGAGGGGAGUGAAAUAGAACCUGAAACCCUGCACUUACAAGCUGUGGAAGCACAUUUCUUGUGUGACCGCGUACUUUUUGUAGAACGGGCCAACGAGUUACGUUAAGUAGCAAGGUUAAGCACUUAAGGUGUGGAGCCGUAGCGAAAGCGAGUUUUAACUGAGCGUUCAGUUACUUGACGUAGACCCGAAACCGGGCGACCUACCCAUGAGCAGGAUGAAGCGAAAGUAAAAUUUCGUGGAGGUCCGAACCCACGAGCGUUGAAAAGCUCGGGGAUGACUUGUGGGUAGCGGUGAAAUUCCAAUCGAGCCCGGAGAUAGCUGGUUCUCCCCGAAAUAGCUUUAGGGCUAGCCUCAAGGUGAGAGAUACGGAGGUAGAGCACUGAAUGUCCUAGGGGGUAUUGCACCUACCGAAGACUAUCAAACUCCGAAUGCCGUCAUCUUAUACUUGGGAGUCAGACUGUGGGUGAUAAGAUUCAUAGUCGAAAGGGCAACAGCCCAGAUCGUCAGCUAAGGUCCCUAAAUGUAAGUUAAGUGGUAAAGGAUGUGGGAUUGCACAGACAACCAGGAUGUUGGCUUAGAAGCAGCCACUCAUUCAAAGAGUGCGUAAUAGCUCACUGGUCGAGUGAUCCUGCGCCGAAGAUUUCCGGGGCUAAAACUUACUACCGAAGCUACGGCAUCAGUAAUGAUGGGUAGGGGAGCUUCCCAUACGGGUUGAAGCAUGACCGUAAGGACAUGUGGACAGUAUGGGAGUGAGAAUGUUGGCAUGAGUAGCGAGAUGUGGGUGAGAAUCCCACAGGCCGUAAACCCAAGGUUUCCAGGGGAAGGUUCGUCCGCCCUGGGUUAGUCGGGACCUAAGCUGAGGCCGAAAGGCGUAGGUGAUGGACAACAGGUUGAUAUUCCUGUACUACCGAUAACCGUUUGAGAGAAGGGAUGACACAGUAGGAUAAGCUAAGCACACUGUUGGUUAUGUGUGCCCAAGCAUUGAGGCAGUCAAAGUAGGCAAAUCCGCUUUGAUAAUGCUGGGAUGUGAUGGGGAGCGAAAUUUAGUAGCGAAGUAGCUGAUUUCACACUGUCAAGAAAAGUCUCUAUCGAGGUUAAAGGUACCCGUACCGCAAACCGACACAGGUGGGUGAGGAGAGUAUCCUAAGGCCAGCGAGAGAACUGUUGUUAAGGAACUCGGCAAAAUGACCCCGUAACUUAGGGAUAAGGGGUGCCACCAUCAGGUGGCCGCAGAGAAUAGGCCCAAGCGACUGUUUACCAAAAACAUAGGUUUCUGCUAAGUCGCAAGACGAUGUAUAGGAGCUGACGCCUGCCCGGUGCUGGAAGGUUAAGGGGAUCUGUUAGAGCAAUCGAAGCAGUGAACUUAAGCCCCAGUAAACGGCGGCCGUAACUAUAACGGUCCUAAGGUAGCGAAAUUCCUUGUCGGGUAAGUUCCGACCCGCACGAAAGGCGUAACGAUUUGGGCACUGUCUCAACAACAGACUCGGUGAAAUUGUAAUUCCGGUGAAGAUGCCGGAUACCUGCGACAGGACGGAAAGACCCCAUGGAGCUUUACUGUAGCUUGACAUUGGGUCUUGGUACUACAUGUACAGGAUAGGUGGGAGGCUUUGAAACCAGGACGCCAGUUUUGGCGGAGCCAUCCUUGGGAUACCACCCUUGUAGUACUGGGACUCUAACCAUAGGCCAUGAAUCUGGUCUUGGGACACUGUCAGGUGGGCAGUUUGACUGGGGCGGUCGCCUCCCAAAAGGUAACGGAGGCGCUCAAAGGUUCUCUCAGUACGGUCGGAAAUCGUACGUAGAGUGUAAAGGCAAAAGAGAGCUUGAUUGCAAGACAUACAGGUCGAGCAAGGAUGAAAAUCGGACUUAGUGAUCCGGUGGUUCUGCGUGGAAGGGCCAUCGCUCAACGGAUAAAAGCUACCCUGGGGAUAACAGGCUUAUCUCCCCCAAGAGUCCACAUCGACGGGGAGGUUUGGCACCUCGAUGUCGGCUCAUCACAUCCUGGGGCUGUAGUAGGUCCCAAGGGUUGGGCUGUUCGCCCAUUAAAGUGGUACGCGAGCUGGGUUCAGAACGUCGUGAGACAGUUCGGUCCCUAUCCGUCGCAGGCGUAGGAAAUUUGAGAAGACCUGUCCUUAGUACGAGAGGACCGGGAUGGACGUACCUCUGGUGUACCAGUUGUCCUGCCAAGGGCAUGGCUGGGUAGCUAUGUACGGAAUGGAUAAGCGCUGAAAGCAUCUAAGCGCGAAGCCAACUUCAAGAUAAGAUUUCCCACCGCAAGGGUAAGACCCCAGAAAGACUAUCUGGUUGAUAGGUCGAAGGUGUAAGUGCAGCAAUGUAUUUAGCUUAUCGAUACUAAUAGGUCGAGGACUUGACCAA